GUACUGUAUGAAAGGACAGAAGGUCAGCACACCCCUUGACAAGGAUGGAAGAGGCCCAUUGCCAACUGCUUUGU
ensembl:snRNA